UGCACCUGCAACCCUGUACAUGUGACUGUUAAACACUCUGAAUCGUUAAGUUUGCUGACGGCACGACGACGGUUGGCCUAAUCACCGACGACGAUGAGACAACCUAUAGAGGAGAGGUGUGAGAUCUGGCAGUGUGGUGCCAUGACGACAACCGCUUCCUCAACGUGGGCAAGACCAAGGAGGUUAUUGUGAACUACAGGAAACACGCUCCCAUCCACAUCGACUGGGCUAUGGUGGAGAGGGUCGAGAGCUUCAAGUUCCUCUGUGUCCACAUCACUAAGGAUCUCUCAUGGUCUACACACACCCACACAGUUGUGAAGAGGGCACCACAACGCCUCUUCCCCCUCAGGAGGCUGAAAAGAUUUGGCAUGGGUCCUCAGAUCCUAAAAGUUCCACAACUGCACCAUUGAGAGCAUCUUGACUGGCUGCAUCACCGCUUGGUACGGCAACUGCUCAGCAUCCAACUGAAAUGUGCUACAGAGGAUAAGGCCCAGGACAUCACUGGGGACCAACUUCCUGCCAUCCAUGACCGCUAUACCAGGCGGUGUCAAGAGGAAAGCCCUAAAAAUCCCAAGUCAGACCGUUCCCUCUGCUACCGCAUGGCAAGCGGUACAGGAGCUCCAAGUGUAGGUCCAAAAGCCUCCUUAACAGCUUCUACCCCCAAGACAUAAGACUGUUCCCUCUGCUAACGCACGGCAAGCGGUACAGGAGCUCCAAGUGUAGGUCCAAAAGCCUCCUUAACAGCUUCUACCCCCAAGACAUAAGACUGUUCCCUCUGCUAACGCACGGCAAGCGGUACAGGAGCUCCAAGUGUAGGUCCAAAAGCCUCCUUAACAGCUUCUACUCCCAAGACAUAAGACUGUUCCCUCUGCUAACGCACGGCAAGCGGUACAGGAGCUCCAAGUGUAGGUCCAAAAGCCUCCUUAACAGCUUCUACCCCCAAGACAUAAGACUGUUCCCUCUGCUAACGCACGGCAAGCGGUACAGGAGCUCCAAGUGUAGGUCCAAAAGCCUCCUUAACAGCUUCUACCCCCAAGACAUAAGACUGUUCCCUCUGCUAACGCACGGCAAGCGGUACAGGAGCUCCAAGUGUAGGUCCAAAAGCCUCCUUAACAGCUUCUACCCCCAAGACAUAAGACUGUUCCCUCUGCUAACGCACGGCAAGCGGUACAGGAGCUCCAAGUGUAGGUCCAAAAGCCUCCUUAACAGCUUCUACCCCCAAGACAUAAGACUGUUCCCUCUGCUAACGCACGGCAAGCGGUACAGGAGCUCCAAGUGUAGGUCCAAAAGCCUCCUUAACAGCUUCUACCCCCAAGACAUAAGACUGUUC